GGUUAAGACACCGCCCUUUCACGGCGGUAACACGGGUUCGAGUCCCGUACGGGUCACCA
rnacentral:tRNA from 1 species